AACGAACGCUGGCGGCAGGCCUAACACAUGCAAGUCGAACGCAUCGCAAGAUGAGUGGCAGACGGGUGAGUAACGCGUGGGAACAUACCCUUUUCUACGGAAUAGCUCUGGGAAACUGGAAUUAAUACCGUAUACGCCCUACGGGGGAAAGAUUUAUCGGGGAAGGAUUGGCCCGCGUUGGAUUAGCUAGUUGGUGGGGUAAAGGCCUACCAAGGCGACGAUCCAUAGCUGGUCUGAGAGGAUGAUCAGCCACAUUGGGACUGAGACACGGCCCAAACUCCUACGGGAGGCAGCAGUGGGGAAUAUUGGACAAUGGGCGCAAGCCUGAUCCAGCCAUGCCGCGUGAGUGAUGAAGGCCUUAGGGUUGUAAAGCUCUUUCACCGAUGAAGAUAAUGACGGUAGUCGGAGAAGAAGCCCCGGCUAACUACGUGCCAGCAGCCGCCGCUGUAA
rnacentral:rRNA from 1 species